ACAAAUACAUGAUGGCCGUUGCCACCGAAUAGUGUAACGCGUACAUGAUACCCGUCGUGUAACUGAAAGGUUUAUUAUUUUCAGUGGAGUAUCGUCGUCGCGCGUGCUCCGUGUGCGUUUGUUUUCCCGACGGCGUGGUCGCGGCGGUACGCGCCCGGGUACGCGGGAUCGCGCGCGGCUUAGUCGCGCGCGGGCGCCGAAAGAUUCCCAGGAGGAAAACACGGGGUGGCCAGAGCCCCGCGUACGCGGUGCCGUAGGACGGAAGUCGCGGUGGCGAGAUCUGCGCCCGUAGAAAGGCUGGCGCGCGGCACAGCGACGACAGAGAGACCUUUUGUCCAGAGAAAAGGAUUGCUGCGACGGACAUCGCGUGGGUGAAGGCGUAAUGUUGUGACAUUACACUCUACGCCAUUUGACAAGUAUUCAAGAAUGUCUGUGAGUUACUUCCUGGACCUGGGAUAGCGAGUGGAAUGUAACACGAGAGAACUGUUUAUUCGUAAAGUGAUAUAUAUCCUGUUUGACACCGUUCUGCCGAACGUGCAUCCCCGAGCCGUGUUGUCAUGGACAGGCGUAGCGUCGCUGCACUUAUAAAUGGAUAAGAUCUCGUGGCAGACGCGCUUUAAGUAUAAGUCAGGAUAUAUCCACGAUGCGAUUGCGCAAUUGUUUUUUAAUGGGUAAAAUGGUUCGCGAGGGAACUACUUUCUGCGUGCUGCGAAGCAAUGCCCGUAACGGCCACGAAUGGUUAGCACUGGUGCGAGACUUUUGAAGGCGACGUUAACCGUACACGUGGAUACGAGCGCUCCGAGGAUAUUGAGCACGCUGCUGCCCUGAGCUUCGGAAGGAAUACGAAAUUGUAUGCAUGACAGGAACAGGAGAGAACGUAGGCCGCAGACGUGUUGAGUGGCGCCGAAACGCAAAUAUCGCUCGCUGCAACUGUUAAACAAUUUUGGAAAGAACAAAAU